UAUCUGAACCUUCGGGGAACGAUAACGGCGUCGAGCGGCGGACGGGUGAGUAAUGCCUAGGAAAUUGCCCUGAUGUGGGGGAUAACCAUUGGAAACGAUGGCUAAUACCGCAUGAUGCCUACGGGCCAAAGAGGGGGACCUUCGGGCCUCUCGCGUCAGGAUAUGCCUAGGUGGGAUUAGCUAGUUGGUGAGGUAAGGGCUCACCAAGGCAACGAUCCCUAGCUGGUCUGAGAGGAUGAUCAGCCACACUGGAACUGAGACACGGUCCAGACUCCUACGGGAGGCAGCAGUGGGGAAUAUUGCACAAUGGGCGCAAGCCUGAUGCAGCCAUGCCGCGUGUAUGAAGAAGGCCUUCGGGUUGUAAAGUACUUUCAGUCGUGAGGAAGGCGGCGUCGUUAAUAGCGGCGUUGUUUGACGUUAGCGACAGAAGAAGCACCGGCUAACUCCGUGCCAGCAGCCGCGGUAAUACGGAGGGUGCGAGCGUUAAUCGGAAUUACUGGGCGUAAAGCGCAUGCAGGUGGUUUGUUAAGUCAGAUGUGAAAGCCCGGGGCUCAACCUCGGAAUAGCAUUUGAAACUGGCAGACUAGAGUACUGUAGAGGGGGGUAGAAUUUCAGGUGUAGCGGUGAAAUGCGUAGAGA
rnacentral:rRNA from 1 species